rnacentral:rRNA from 1 species
GAUGAACGCUGGCGGCGUGCCUAAUACAUGCAAGUCGAGCGAACAGAUGAGGAGCUUGCUCCUCUGACGUUAGCGGCGGACGGGUGAGUACCACGUGGAUAACCUACCUAUAAGACUGGGAUAACUUCGGGAAACCGGAGCUAAUACCGGAUAAUAUAUUGAACCGCAUGGUUCAUUAGUGAAAGACGGUUUUGCUGUCACUUAUAGAUGGUUCCGCGCCGCAUUAGCUAGUUGGUAAGGUAACGGCUUACCAAGGCAACGAUGCGUAGCCGACCUGAGAGGGUGAUCGGCCACACUGGAACUGAGACACGGUCCAGACUCCUACGGGAGGCAGCAGUAGGGAAUCUUCGGCAAUGGGCGAAAGCCUGACGGAGCAACGCCGCGUGAGUGAUGAAGGUCUUCGGAUCGUAAAACUCUGUUAUUAGGGAGGAACGAAUGUGUGAGAAACUAUUCACGUUUUGACGGUACCAAAUCAGAAAGCCACGGCUAACUACGUG